UGUAAGUAUGCUCCUAUAUGCUUUAUUUAUGCAAUUACCUAGUCUAUCCAGUGAAAACGUACUUCCAUAACACAAGUUACCUACUUAUCUAGCUUUGUUUGCUGAUGUAAUCCGAAAAUGUGCUAUAAUGGCCGGCUGAUGGUAGCUCACAUUUACAUACCAGCUAGCAGCUAGCUGCUAACGUGUAGCUUGCGCAAGCUAAUUUAGCUCACUUAGUCCUGUCCAACUUUAUGAACUUUUUUAGAAAUGUAUAAUUAACUCAAUACUGAAUUUAAAAUGAGCGCAACUUGAUUUGACGGUAACCUUAUGUGUUUGCCCGUGAACAACAAAAGUUGCCUUGCGUGAGCUAGCAUUAGCAGGCUAGCUUGUUGACCAACGAUAACUUAAAGUUGUUACACAAACAUAAUAGUUUUUUGUUAACGUUAUGAAAGCUUAGAUGUUGGACUCGGGAGUCUUAUCUCCCGAGAGAAAACUUAAGCUAUUUCGUAUGAGUUUAAACCUCAUUUCAUUCUGGGAGGGAGGCUGAUUUCACAUUGUUUCCCUGUCCUGAUUUGAAAUGCUGAUUUUAAAUUAUGAACGACGUUAGCGGCUGGUUCCAAAACGUAAACCUAUGCGCCCUGUCACCCUCAUGCUCAGACAUUGUUGACACUUUUAGAAGGCAGGAACAGAACAGCUUCGGGAUUCAUGCCCUUAUAUUUUGUACACGUUAGUGAGAAACCAACUAACUGUCCUACUAUUCAAUCUAAAUAGUAGAGAUUCCUCCCUAACUUUUAUUAAGUAAAAAUUCCGAAGCCAUUUGUUUAAUGCAGAAAUACUGCCGUCUACGAGUUCAUUUAAUGAUGUUGAAAGUUUGUUGGAGUAAGAUUUGACUGAAAAGGGACAAUUAGAAGAGGCAGUAGUUGACUUGAUGUAUAUCCUUGCUUUGCCUUGUCACGGACCAGACUGUUUUCAAUGUUUAGAAUGGGGUGUAAUAUUAAGUAUUGAUAAAUAUUUGCCUAUUUCUUUCUGAUGAUGAGAGUAAUGCAUAUUUAUGUAUCUGUAUUACAGGUCAUUCACAAGUCUGGUUUGGGGGUCUACCCUUGCUCAUCCUGUCCUGCCACCCAAGUAAAAAGAGAAAUAACCACAGGCUCUGCAACUGCUGUUUCCAGGUCAUUCACAAGUCUGGUUUGGGGGUCUACCCUUGCUUAUCCUGUCCUGCCACCCAAGUAAAAAGAGAAAUAACUACAGGCCUCUGCAACUGCUGUCUCUAGGAACGGUACGCAAGUGUCCAGUGACAGCCCAGGCAACGGAUACCGUAGCGACAUUCACCAAUGUGCUGGCGCAUGACCGAGAAGGGGGGACGUCGCAAACGCCAGUGUGAAGGAGCAAGCUAGAUUCAUUGAUGAUCAUCAUGUUUUGAAUAAA